rnacentral:misc_RNA from 1 species
GAUGAAGAACGCAGCGAAUUGCGAUAUGUAAUGUGAAUUGCAGAAUUCAGUGAAUCAUCGAAUCUUUGAACGCAUCUUGCACUCUUUGGUCUUCCAAAGGGUAUGCCUGUUUGAGUAUCAUUAAUCAUAUCAAUACAAAUCAAAUCAAUCAAAUCAAAUUGAUACUUUGAUAUGUGUUUGGAUGUUGAAGGUAUGUUGGCCUUGCGGUUAGCUCCUUUUAAAUGAAUUAGCAGAACCAUUCAGGGACUGGCUUCAGUUUGAUAAUGAACAUUUUAUCGACGCUGUUGCUUGUUAUUUUUGUUGUUCAGCUGAUAAUUGUCCAUUUUUUUGGACUGUCCUUUAAGGACAUCUAAUUCUUUAACUGAUCUCAAAUCAGGUAGGAUUACCCGCUGAACUUAAGCAUAUCAAUAAGCGGAGGA